UCUGUGCCAGGGUGGCACGUGGUGCACGCUGAUCGAUUGGGAUGCCCCGGCUGUGCCCUCAGGAUGACCGAGUGGGAGAUAGCUGGACCUGCAGUGGUGGAGACCCCUGACAUCAAGCUCUUUGGGAAAUGGAGCACUGAUGAUGUUCAGAUCAAUGACAUUUCCUUGCAGGAUUACAUUGCAGUGAAGGAGAAGUAUGCCAAGUACCUGCCCCACAGUGCAAGGCGAUAUGCAGCUAAGCGCUUCCGUAAGGCACAGUGCCCCAUUGUCGAGCGUCUCACCAACUCAAUGAUGAUGCAUGGCCGUAACAAUGGCAAGAAGCUCAUGACCGUGCGCAUUGUCAAGCAUGCCUUCGAGAUCUUCCAUCUGCUCCCUGGUGAGAACCCCCUGCACGUCCUGGUGAAUGCAAUUAUUAACAGCGGUCCCCGGGAGGACUCAACCCGCACUGGACGAGCCAGAACAGUGAGGCGUCAGGCUGUCGACAUGUCCGCCCUGCUCUGUGUGAAUCAGGCCAUCUAGCUGCUGUGCACAGGUGCCCGUGAGGCUGCCUUCCAGAACAUCAAGACCAUUGCUGAGUGCCUAGCAGAUGAGCUCAUCAAUGCAGCCAAGGGCUCUUCCAGUUCCUAGGCUAUCAAGAAGAAGGACGAGCUGGAACGUGUGGCCAAGUCCAACCAUUGA